AUUGAACGCUGGCAGCAGGCCUAACACAUGCAAGUCGAGCGGAUGAAGGGAGCUUGCUCCUGGAUUCAGCGGCGGACGGGUGAGUAAUGCCUAGGAAUCUGCCUGGUAGUGGGGGAUAACGUCCGGAAACGGGCGCUAAUACCGCAUACGUCCUGAGGGAGAAAGUGGGGGAUCUUCGGACCUCACGCUAUCAGAUGAGCCUAGGUCGGAUUAGCUAGUUGGUGGGGUAAAGGCUUACCAAGGCGACGAUCCGUAACUGGUCUGAGAGGAUGAUCAGUCACACUGGAACUGAGACACGGUCCAGACUCCUACGGGAGGCAGCAGUGGGGAAUAUUGGACAAUGGGCGAAAGCCUGAUCCAGCCAUGCCGCGUGUGUGAAGAAGGUCUUCGGAUUGUAAAGCACUUUAAGUUGGGAGGAAGGGCAGUAAGUUAAUACCUUGCUGUUUUGACGUUACCAACAGAAUAAGCACCGGCUAACUUCGUG
rnacentral:rRNA from 1 species